UUGACUACAACAAAAUGUCCGCCAGUACUACAAGCACUAGCUUAAAACCCAAAGACCUGACGGUGCCUCAGAUCCACCUAGAGGAGCCUGUUCUAGAACCGAUAACCCCCGUUCAACCUCACCACUUCUGGCCACCCCAGCCUAUAUACCGCCGUCGUCAGCUUACCCUGUGAAGGCAACAAAAGUAAGCAAAAUGGGCACAACCCCAAACGUCAGGUCGAGGUGUAGCGCAUGAAGUGGGAAGAAAUGGGCUACAUUUUCUACCACAGAACACUACGAAUAUGUACCAUGAAAUAGUACUUAAAGGAGGAUUUAGCAGUAAAGGGGAAAUAGAGUGCCCCAUUGAACCCGGCUCUGAGGCGCGUACACACCGCCGAAAAA
rnacentral:rRNA from 1 species